rnacentral:rRNA from 1 species
UACAGAGGUCCCAAGCGUUGUUCGGAUUCAUUGGGCGUAAAGGGUGCGUAGGCGGCGCGGUAAGUCGGGUGUGAAAUCUCGGGGCUUAACUCCGAAACUGCAUUCGAUACUGCCGUGCUUGAGGACUGGAGAGGAGACUGGAAUUUACGGUGUAGCGGUGAAAUGCGUAGAUAUCCGGAGGAAGACCGGUGGCGAAGGCGGUCUGCUGGGCAGUUUCUGACACUGAGGCGCGACAGCGUGGGGAGCAAACAGG